rnacentral:rRNA from 1 species
AUUGAACGCUGGCGGCAUGCUUUACACAUGCAAGUCGAACGGUAACAGGCCUUCGGGUGCUGACGAGUGGCGAACGGGUGAGUAAUGCAUCGGAACGUGCCCAAUCGUGGGGGAUAACGUAGCGAAAGUUACGCUAAUACCGCAUAAGCCCUGAGGGGGAAAGUGGGGGACCGCAAGGCCUCACGCGAAUGGAGCGGCCGAUGUCAGAUUAGCUAGUUGGUGGGGUNAAGGCCCCACCAAGGCGACGAUCUGUAGCGGGUCUGAGAGGAUGAUCCGCCACACUGGGACUGAGACACGGCCCAGACUCCUACGGGAGGCAGCAGUGGGGAAUUUUGGACAAUGGGCGCAAGCCUGAUCCAGCCAUGCCGCGUGCGGGACGAAGGCCUC